rnacentral:rRNA from 1 species
AGACAUCCGAUGGUAACGGGCUCUGAGAAGGAUGUCCCCCACACCUGUAGCUGAAACCGAUCAGUCCUACGGAGGCAGCAGUACGAUACUAGACAUGACGCAGUCUGACCAGCAUGGCUGCGUGACGAGACGCCUAUGGGUGUAAACUCUUUUCUCAGGGGUAAACUCUGGAACGUGUCCCGACUGAAAGUACUGAGGAAUAAGCAUCGGCUAACUCCGUGCCAGCAGCCGCGGUAAUACGGAGGAUGCGAGCGUUAUCCGGAUUCAUUGGGUUUAAAGGGUGCGCAGGCGGAUAUAUAAGUCGGAGGUGAAAUUCUGAUGCUCAACAUCAGCCGUGCCUUCGAUACUGUAUAUCUAGAGUCAAGUUGGAGUAGGCGGAAUGUGUUGUGUAGCGGUGAAAUGCUUAGAUAUAACACAGAACACCGAUCGCGAAGGCAGCUUACUAAACUUUGACUGACGCUCAUGCACGAAAGCGUGGGGAUCAAACAGGAUUAGAUACCCUGGUAGUCCACGCUGUAAACGAUGAUUACUCGCUGUUGGCGAUACACAGUCAGUGGCUAAGCGAAAGUGAUAAGUAAUCCACCUGGGGAGUACGACGGCAACGUUGAAACUCAAAGGAAUUGACGGGGGCCCGCACAAGCGGAGGAGCAUGUGGUUUAAUUCGAUGAUACGCGAGGAACCUUACCAGGGCUAGAACGCAAGUUGAUUAUGUGCGAAAGUAUAUAUCUCUUCGGAGCAAUUUGCGAGGUGCUGCAUGGUUGUCGUCAGCUCGUGCCGUGAGGUGUCAGGUUAAGUCCUAUAACGAGCGCAACCCCUACUCUUAGUUGCCAGCAUGUAAUGAUGGGGACUCUAAGAGAACUGCCUACGCAAGUAGAGAGGAAGGUGGGGAUGACGUCAAAUCAGCACGGCCCUUAUGUCCUGGGCUACACACGUGCUACAAUGGUCGGUACAGAGGGCAGCUACCUGGUGACAGGAUGCUAAUCUCAAAAGCCGGUCUCAGUUCGGAUCGGAGUCUGCAACUCGACUCCGUGAAGUUGGAUUCGCUAGUAAUCGCGCAUCAGCCAUGGCGCGGUGAAUACGUUCCCGGGCCUUGUACACACCGCCCGUCAAGCCAUGGAAGCUGGGGGUACCUAAAGUCCGUAACCGUAAGGAGCGGCCUAGGGUAAAACUAGUGACUGGGGCUAAGUCGUAACAAGGUAGCC